AUGGAAGCACCUGAAGGAACUAAAACACCUCCUCAGAUUCAGAAGUUGGUGAUGGAGUAUGCUGAUUUGUUUAAGGAACCUACAAAACUCCCUCCUCAUAGAGCCUUGGACCAGAAAAUUCCACUUGCGCCUGGAGCCAACCCUCCUCAUAUGAGACCUUACGGAGUGCCCCAACACCAGAAGAAGGAAAUGGAAGAACAAAUCAAGAAAUUGCUAGCAGCUCAUCUUAUAAGAGACAGCCAAAGUCCAUAUGCUGCUCCAGUGCUGUUAGUUAAAAAGAAAGACAUCUCCAUGAGACUGUGUACUAAUUUUGGGAAAUUGAACUCAUUGACAGUCAAGAACAAAUUUCCUAUACCAUUCAUAGAAGAUUUGUUGGAUGAGCUACAUGGAGCUAAGUAUUUUUCAAAGCUGGAUUUAAAAUCUGGUUAUCACCAAAUUAGGAUGCAUCCAGAGGACAUACAUACAAAACUGCUUUUAGAACCUUUUUGGGCCAUUUUGAGUACUUAG
rnacentral:rRNA from 1 species